AGUGAACGCUGGCGGUAGGCCUAACACGUGCCAGUCGAACGGCAGCACAGUAAGAGCUUGCUCUUACGGGUGGCGAGUGGCGGACGGGUGAGGAAUACAUCGGAAUCUACUUUUUCGUGGGGGAUAACGUAGGGAAACUUACGCUAAUACCGCAUACGACCUACGGGUGAAAGCAGGGGAUCUUCGGACCUUGCGCGAUUGAAUGAGCCGAUGUCGGAUUAGCUAGUUGGCGGGGUAAGGCCCACCAAGGCGACGAUCCGUAGCUGGUCUGAGAGGAUGAUCAGCCACACUGGAACUGAGACACGGUCCAGACUCCUACGGGAGGCAGCAGUGGGGAAUAUUGGACAAUGGGCGCAAGCCUGAUCCAGCCAUACCGCGUGGGUGAAGAAGGCCUUCGGGUUGUAAAGCCCUUUUGUUGGGAAAGAAAAGCAGCAGGUUAAUACCCCGCUGUUCUGACGGUACCCAAAGAAUAAGCACCGGCUAACUUCGUG
rnacentral:rRNA from 1 species